GAUGAACGCUAGCGGCAGGCCUAAUACAUGCAAGUCGAACGAGAUUAAGAGGCUUGCUUCUUAUGAAAGUGGCGCACGGGUGCGUAACGCGUAUGCAACCUACCUUAAUCAGGGGGAUAGCCCGAAGAAAUUCGGAUUAAGACCGCAUAAAAACACAGGAUAGCAUUAUCCAAUGUUCAAAUAUUUAUAGGAUUAAGAUGGGCAUGCGUGUCAUUAGCUAGUUGGCGGGGUAACGGCCCACCAAGGCGACGAUGACUAGGGGAUCUGAGAGGAUGACCCCCCACACUGGUACUGAGACACGGACCAGACUCCUACGGGAGGCAGCAGUAAGGAAUAUUGGUCAAUGGAGGGAACUCUGAACCAGCCAUGCCGCGUGCAGGAAGACAGCCCUCUGGGUCGUAAACUGCUUUUAUUCGGGAAUAAACCUUUCUACGUGUAGGAAGCUGAAUGUACCGAAGGAAUAAGGAACGGCUAACUCCGUG
rnacentral:rRNA from 1 species